rnacentral:rRNA from 1 species
UACAGAGGUCUCAAGCGUUGUUCGGAUUCAUUGGGCGUAAAAAGCGUGUAGGCGGCUCGGUAAGUCCGCUGUGAAAGUCCAGGGCUCAACCCUGGAAUGCCGGUGGAAACUGUCGAGCUUGAGUCCGGAAGAGGCGAGUGGAAUUCCUGGUGUAGCGGUGAAAUGCGCAGAUAUCAGGAGGAACACCAAUGGCGAAGGCAGCUCGCUGGGACGGUACUGACGCUGAGACGCGAAAGCGUGGGGAGCAAACAGG